rnacentral:rRNA from 1 species
GACGAACGCUGGCGGCGUGCUUAACACAUGCAAGUCGAACGGUAAGGCCCUUCGGGGUACACGAGUGGCGAACGGGUGAGUAACACGUGGGUGAUCUGCCCUGCACUUCGGGUUAAGCCUGGGAAACUGGGUCUAAUACCGGAUAGGACCACUGCCUGCAUGGGUGGUGGUGGAAAGCUUUUGCGGUGUGGGGUGGGCCCGCGGCCUAUCAGCUUGUUGGUGGGGUGAUGGCCUACCAAGGCGACGACGGGUAGCCGGCCGGAGAGGGUGACCGGCCCCACUGAGACUGAGGUACGGCCCAGACGCCUACGGGGGGCAGCAGUGGGGAAUAUUGCACAAUGGGCGCAAGCCUGAUGCAGCGACGCCGCGUGAGGGAUGACGGCCUUCGGGUUGUAAACCUCGUUCAGCACCGACGAAGCGCAAGUGACGGUAGGUGCAGAAGAAGGACCGGCCAACUACGUGCCAGCCACCGCAGUAA